UAUGAGCCAGCAGUGUGCUCAGGUGGCCAAGAAAACCAACAGCAUGCUGGUUAGUAUCAGAAAUGAUGUGACCAACAGGACUAGGGAAGUGAUUGUCCCUCUGUGCUCAGCUCUUGUG